GCGCACGCAGGCGGUCUGUUAAGUCAGAUGUGAAAUCCCCGGGCUUAACCUGGGAACUGCAUUUGAAACUGGCAGGCUUGAGUCUCGUAGAGGGGGGUAGAAUUCCAGGUGUAGCGGUGAAAUGCGUAGAGAUCUGGAGGAAUACCGGUGGCGAAGGCGGCCCCCUGGACGAAGACUGACGCUCAGGUGCGAAAGCGUGGGGAGCAAACAGGAUUAGAUACCCUGGUAGUCCACGCCGUAAACGAUGUCGACUUGGAGGCUGUUCCCUUGAGGAGUGGCUUCCGGAGCUAACGCGUUAAGUCGACCGCCUGGGGAGUACGGCCGCAAGGUUAAAACUCAAAUGAAUUGACGGGGGCCCGCACAAGCGGUGGAGCAUGUGGUUUAAUUCGAUGCAACGCGAAGAACCUUACCUGGUCUUGACAUCCACGGAAUUCGGCAGAGAUGCCCUAGUGCCUUCGGGAACCGUGAGACAGGUGCUGCAUGGCUGUCGUCAGCUCGUGUUGUGAAAUGUUGGGUUAAGUCCCGCAACGAGCGCAACCCUUAUCCUUUGUUGCCAGCGCGUGAGGCGGGAACUCAAAGGAGACUGCCGGUGAUAAACCGGAGGAAGGUGGGGAUGACGUCAAGUCAUCAUGGCCCUAACGACCAGGGCUACACACGUGCUACAAUGGCGCAUACAAAGAGAAGCGACCUCGCGAGAGCAAGCGGACCUCAUAAAGUGCGUCGUAGUCCGG
rnacentral:rRNA from 1 species